rnacentral:rRNA from 1 species
AGGGAGAAGCCCAGCACCGAAGCGCCCGUCCCAACGGGGCGGGAGGGCAAUGUGGUGUUUAGGAAUAGCGCGACCGAAGGUUGAUCUAAGCGCAAGUCCUCCUGACUGGGGCUCUCGCCCAUCGAGGGUGCAAGGCCCGCCGUCGCUUAUGAUCUCCGGCGGAAGCAAAAUUCCUUGGAGUCGGGUUGCUUGAGAGUGCAGCCCUAAGUGGGUGGUAAACUCCAUCUAAGGCUAAAUACGACCACGAAACCGAUAGCGAACAAGUACCGUGAGGGAAAGUUGAAAAGAACUUUGAAGAGAGAGUUCAAGAGUGCGUGAAACCGUUUAGAGGUAAACGGGUGGGCCCUCGAAGGUGAUCGUCGGAGGGAUUCAGUCGGACGUGACCGUAAGCGUCGUUCGUCUCUAACGGUGCGGACCUCGGUCGGCCGGGCGGGCGAAGGCUGCGGGCCGUUUGGCGCAUUUCCUUCCGUUCGAACUACGCUGCGACCAGUCUGGUCACUGAAAGUUGUCGUCCUUGAAAACGGGCAACGGAAGGUGGCCGGCGGCGUCUCUCGGGAUGCCGUCGGUGUUUAUAGCCGGUUCGUUUCACGAGUGAGCGUUCAUCAGACUGGGGACGAUUCUAGCCCUGUGCGGGCUACGCCGAGCACUCCGUUUCUCGGAGCGUUGCGGGGCGACUGGAUGCGCCUGCGGUCGGGAGUUUCACCUUUGCGUGGGCUAACGCCGUAGGUCUCCGUAAGCUCGUUCCGUAAAACACGGACCAAGGAGUCUAACAUGUGCGCGAGUCAUUGGGUCUUGUUUAGGCCCAAAGGCGUAAUGAAAGUGAAGGGCGGUUCGGCCGUCUGCCUUGGGAUCCCGCGGACCUCGCGUUCGCGGGCGCACCAAGGGCCCGUCCCGGUCGCCUCGUCGACGGGGCGGAGCAAGAGCGUACACGUUGGGACCCGAAAGAUGGUGAACUAUGCCUGGGCAGGACGAAGCCAGAGGAAACUCUGGUGGAGGUCCGCAGCGAUUCUGACGUGCAAAUCGAUCGUCAGAGGCAACUUGGAUGCGAGUGCCAAGUGGGCCACUUUUGGUAAGCAGAAUUGGCGCUGUGGGAUGAACCAAACGCCGGGUUAAGGGGCCCGAUGCGAGACGCUCAUGAGAUCCCAUGAAAGGUGUUGGUUGCUAUAGACAGCAGGACGGUGGCCAUGGAAGUCGGAAUCCGCUAAGGAGUGUGUAACAACUCACCUGCCGAAGCAACUAGCCCUGAAAAUGGAUGGCGCUUCAGCGUCGACCCCAUACCCGGCCGCCGCGGCCGAAAAGCCUCGUGUUUUAAGCCGCGGUGAGUAGGAGGGGCGCGGAGGCGAGCGUCGAAGGUGCCGGGCGUAAGCCCGCCUGGAGCCGCCUCCGGCGCAGAUCUUGGUGGUAGUAGCAAAUACUCAAGUGAGAACCUUGAGGACUGAGGUGGAGAAGGGUUCCAUGUGAACAGCAGUUGAACAUGGGUCAGUCGGUCCUAAGGGAUAGGAGAAAUCCGUUCCGAGGCGGGACCUCUCAAUAUACGAAAGUCCCGCUGAUGACCGAAAGGGAAUCGGGUUAAUAUUCCCGAACCCGGACGCGGAGAUCGUCCUCUUCGGAGGUACAUUGCGGUAACGCAAACGAGCUCGGAGACGUCGACGGGAGCACCGGGAAGAGUUAUCUUUUCUUUGUAAGGAUUCGACUCCCUGGAAUCGGCUCGCCCGGAGAUAGGGAUGGUGUUUCCGUAAAGCACCGCGCCUCUUGCGGUGUCCGGAUCGCUCCCGUCGGCCCUUGAAAAUCCGAGUGAGAGAUAGUGAUUUUCGUGCCGGACCGUACCCAU